rnacentral:lncRNA from 1 species
GUGAGGGAGAAAUGAGGCCAACCAGGCUCAUUCAGAGUGGCUUCGCAGAGCAGUUGUGAAUAUUUUUAUACGAGAUGCAUAAACAUUGAAGCACCUUGUAAAGUGAAAAAGAUUGGCCAACGAUAUGGAAUCAUUAUAGGGCAGCAGUUAAGAGCACAAGAACUGUAGCCAGCGUGUCUGGAAUGGAAUCCCAACUUUACCAGUUACUAGCUGUGCAGCCUUGGCCACCCAGGUGAAAGGCCACUCCCUGGCCCAGGAGCCCCCCACCCCCACCCCAAGGCUUCAAGCACCUGGCCUCCUCACUCAGGACCGCCUGCUGGUCAGGGAGCUCAGGAUCCUUCUCCUCCUACGGUUCCUUUGUUAACCCCUCAUGCUGCACUGCAGGGGGGCAGAGGUUACGAUUUGCCCAUUGCUGUCAGAACCGGACAAGUGACCCAGCAGAAAUAUGCAGGAGACACAGGCAGACAAGCCAGCAAGAAGCAGGGACCUUCGUGAGGCCGAGAAAAAAAGCACAGGCAGGGCCUAGUGAUGGAGGUGUCCAGGGGCUGCGGGCAACCCACUCACAUUCUGUUUAUGCCGGAGGAGGGCUUCCUGGAGGAAGUGGUGGACGCUGGGGCAACACGGUGAGCCCAGCCGAGCAAGGA